GCUCGCGGGUACAGUAGGUGUAAGCCACGGGAGGAAGACACUGGGGCUGCCGGGAGGCUGAACCAGACUUCUCUGCAUUGUGGCCUCCUAUUGCAAUGAAAAACAACCAAGAUGUCUGCUUGGUGACACCAGGGGAAAAAGGUUUGACCACUUCCUCGAAAGAAGAAGCCAUCCUUUUUUUGAGACACCACCUACAGCUAGAUUUGCGGGGCUCGAGUGCUGUAGAACUAAGGGAGAUUUUGUUUGUUUGUUUUUUGAGUCUUAACUCUGCAUUUCAAGAUUUUGCAACUGUGGCUUAAUGCUAACAUCUUCAGGCUGCAACAAAUUUGACUUUGAUGUGGAGAUCAGAGACGUCUUAACAGUGGUGUGGUCACUCAUCUAGAGCCAGACAUCCUGGAGUGUGACGUCAAGUGGACAUUAGGAAGCAUUACUAUCAACAAAGCUAAUGGAGGUGAUGAAAUUCAGUUGAGCUAUUUCAAAUCCUAAAAGAAGAUGCUAUUAAAGUGCUGCACUCAUUAUGGUAGCACAUUUGGAAAACAGCAUUGGCCACAGGACUGGAAAAAGGUCAGUUUUCAUUCUAAUCCCAAGGAAGGGCAAUGUCAGAGAAUGUUCAAAUUAUCAUACAGUUGCACUCAUUUCACAUGCCAGCAAGAUUAUGCUCAAAAUCUUUCAAACUAGGCUUCA